AGGCCGCCUUCAGACAAGCAGCAGCUCCCAGCAGCCUCCUGCUUCUCCUCCCUCAGCUCUGGAACCAGCGCAGCCCGCUCCUCGGCCUGGAGGAACUCCUCAUCGCUCAGCACAAACACAGUGACCGGGAGAAGGAUUUCGAAGACCUCCGACUCUGAGGAUAGAAAAGAACGCUGCGUUAACGUGACUCCCCAAACUCUCUUAGUAACCCACUCCCUUAAAAUGAGUGCGGAACGCGUAGAACAGCACCCAGGCACAGCGCCUGCAGCCUCAGGGCCGCGCUCCCUCAGCCCGGGACGUGGCCGCCCCUCCCCCAGCAACGGCGCCCACAAAACGGCCGCCACAGCGCGAUUCGAGCCCCCCUGGAUCCUCAAUAGAGCACCUACCGUUAACCUCCCCCUCCAACAUCGCCUGCUCCACCGACACCGCCAUCCUCGGCCCAAGCGCGGCUGCUCCUGCAACGCCAGCAAGCGUGGCCCGCCUCUCCCCCCAACAGCACCACUGUGCCUGCGCACGGAACAGCUUCCGGGGUGAAAGGAAAAGGUACUGCAGCCAAACAGAUGGUUGAAUUUGAUGCCUUGAGGCCUAUUCUGCACUGACUCAACUGGUUAUGAUGUGCAGUUCUACUGGAAUGAAGCUGCUGACCAUCAGGAGGAUUUUGAAGACAAGUACCAAGGAAGGAGUUGUGUUCCUGAGCAGAACUUUGCACGAGGACUCCAUUAUAUGUUUUGGUUCGUUAUCUCCUGACAUAACAGUUCUGUUGGCCCAGGAUGUGGUUUAUCUUAUCACAUAGAGAUGAUACCCUGUCAAGAUAUGCUCCAGUUUCUGGGAACAAUUGUUCUAUUGUGCUUGGAGAAUGCCUGGGACAACAUGCUAUUGCCCACUGGCAGAGCCUUACAGUGCAGCAUGCAGCACAAGAGCAGAAUGCAAUAAAUGGAUUCUACAAGAGGAAGCAUUGGGUGGAUUUUGUUGUCCUCAUACCUACGUUGAUAAGAGUCCUCAAGUGUUUGCCCUUCCAUGUGGUGCUCUGCCAGACAUCUGCAUUUGUGGCCAUCAGCACCAGAGCCUGUUCUGUCCUGUGUCAGUUCUCCAGAUGCUGUUCCUGCUAUCAAAAAUAAGGAAGAGAGAAAAGAAGGACCGGGUUCAGCUGUGCUGUUGGAGGGAUGCACAGUUCAGAACUUCCCCACAGUGUGGAGAGAAAUGAGUUCUGUCAUUAAAAGGAGGAAAGAAUGCACCAAAAUCGUGCUUGACCAUAUGAUAAGGAGGCAAAGACUGGAAUAUUCCUGUGGUGGUGUUCACAGAAGUCUGUUCUGAAAAAAAUGUAUAACUUCUUUCCAGGGUCUGAUGGCACAAAGCAACCAUGAAUAAAUGGACAGUGGGACCAAAAUGCAAAGGAAAAUUGAUGGAACCACCUCAGAGGAGCUUAUUGCUGAAAACUGUUCUCAGUAAAUUGUUGAAAGAUUACUGAAACUGAAAACAGGAGUCCCCACAUGAUUAUUUGUGCAAUAGCCAGCAUAACAGGACAUGAACAUGGAUCUGAAACUCUGAAAAUCAGAGGGUUAAGGCUGUUCACACCACUAUUAAACCGAGGUCUGGAGA